UUAGUACUCUCUCCGUCCGGAAAUACUUGUCGGAGAAAUGAAUGUAUCUAGACAUAUUUAAGUCCUAGAUACAUCCACUUUUAUUUAUUUAUGCGACAAGUAAUUCCGGACGGAGGGAGUAGUAC
rfam:Triticum aestivum genome assembly, contig: Triticum_aestivum_CS42_TGACv1_scaffold_644355_T_5BL-0.149413_5BS-0.138407